CCUACGGGAGGCAGCAGUAGGGAAUUUUCGGCAAUGGGGGGAACCCUGACCGAGCAACGCCGCGUGAACGAAGAAGUUAUUCGUAAUGUAAAGUUCUUUUAACAGGGAAGAAAGAGAAAUUUGACGGUACCUGAAGAAUAAGCCCCGGCAAACUCCGUCCCCGCAGCCGCGGUUAUCCGUAGGGCGCGAGCGUUAUCCGGAAUCAUUGGGCGAAAAGGGUGCGUAGAUGGCAUAGUAAGUCUUUGGUAAAAAUGCUGGGCUAAACCCAGUAGGGCAAAAGAUACUGCAAAGCUAGAGUAUGACAGAGGCAAGUGGAACGACAGGUGUAGCGGUAAAAUGCAUAAAUAUAUGUAAGAACACCAGUGGCGAAGGCGGCUUGCUGGGUCGAUACUGACGUUGAGGCACGAAAGCGUGGGGAGCAAACAGGAUUAGAUACCCUUGUAGUC
rnacentral:rRNA from 1 species